GUUGGUGAACCAGCGGAGGGAUCAUUACCGAGUUUACAACUCCCAAACCCCAAUGUGAACCUACCACACCGUUGCCUCGGCGGGAUCGCCCCGGGCGCGUCGCAGCCCCGGGCCAAGGCGCCCGCCGGAGGACUCCCAAAACUCCUGCAUACCGGACCGCCCAGCGGGCCGUUUUUUUACAACCUCUGAGAAUCUCUCGGCGCUCCCAGCGAGCGUUCCGAAACAAAUGAAUCAAAACUUUCAACAACGGAUCUCUUGGUUCUG
rnacentral:misc_RNA from 1 species